rnacentral:misc_RNA from 1 species
UUAAAGUGAAAAAACAAUGGAAUUAGAUAUAUUAUACAAAAAGGGAGGCCCAUUAGUGGUUUUCUGGAGUUGGAACCUUUUUAUCUUUGCAGCAAAGUUGUAAUGCAGUUUGGUUGCAUCUGAAAGAAGAACAUGAUAGAAAGAAUUAAAGGAACAAGAAGAGAGAUCUGAUAAUGGCUUAGCAUACCUUCAAUACCUUAUGUACUUAACGCUUUAACCUUCAUCAUCACCUUUACACUAAGACCUUAAACAUCAUGGAGAAUUCAUGGAUUCUAUUUAUUUUCUUUAUCAUCAUACUGAUUCUUUUUAAUACUUCACAGGCCUUCAACUAUUUAAUAAAGUUUGUGUACUUAACAGUGAUAUACAUGAGCCUGGCUUUCUUUGUAAUACUGAUAAGCUUACCGAGGCCCCGUCAUCAUAGGAAUGGUUUUAUCACGGCAAAUAUCUUGCAUUGGGUUCAUAGAACGGUUGGAGUAGAGUUGAUCCUAGAGGGUGAGGAGCAUCUUAAACCUGAAGGAGGAGCCGUUGUUGUUCUUAAUCAUCAGUCUGUUAUUGACCUAAUGCCUAUUAUGGAACUUUGGAGAAGAAUUGGCAAAAUGGCUCCGAUCGCUAAAAAAUCUGUGUUAUACGCUGGUCCAGUUGGUAUAGCAAGCUGGUUUGUCGGAGUAGUAUUUAUCGACAGGAAUAGUAAAACAAGUCAUGCAGACGUGAAUAAUGCUGGUCAAUUGGCGAAGAAAAAUAAAACAAAACUGCUUGUAUUUCCAGAGGGAACUAGAAAUGGGGAUAAAAACCUCUCAAUGCGUCCCUUUAAGAAAGGGGCUUUUCAUGUUGCCUUGGACGGUGAAAUGCCAAUUAUUCCUGUAGUAGUUUCGGAGUAUAAUUUCUUGGACUGGAAAAAGAUGAUGUUUCGUCCAGGCCGAGCAAUUAUUCGAGUUUUACCGCCGAUUGACACUUCCGCGUACUCAAAGACGAAUAUAGAAGAUUUGGUUGAGAAGACUCGAUCACAAAUGCUAGAAACUCUUGCUGAGAUAUCCGAACCUGUCAAAUCGCGCUAAAUUGCGACCUGAUAAAAUUCCAUCCAGAUCAAAAUUUUUAGUUUUGAAUCAAUCAUCUUUAGAUUUUAUUUUAUAAGGAGAGUAUUUCUCGUUAUUAGCUUAAUUUAAAUAUUAGUUUAAUUGAAUGCUUGAUGAUAUUACUUGGUGACGAUUAUUUAUUAAAAAUUCUACUUUUCUAAUGAAUUUCAGA